UCCCCCAGCUGCCCAAGUCACCCCAACAGGGAGACUAAAACGGAUCAUCUGGAGAGACAAAUAUACGCGGGAUCUGACGUGCCACGCAACGCCAACUGAUGGUCCACAUCGUGUGCCGCCGCCAACCAGCGCUUAGCACAGUGCCCUGCACUCGAACCUUUAGCGUCUCCAAAAGCCCGGCAAACCUCGCCCUGCCACGCUAGACCUGCCUUGUGAGGAGAAAAAGAACGCGAUCACUGAGCGGGCUGGGGGAGCGAGCCCACCCACCAUCCACAUCACCGCCGGCCCCGAAAUCUGAACGCGCAAGGUUAAAUUCCCAAGGACGCCUCCUCCCGCAAGUAGCUCGACGCUGGGAGAGAAGACUUCUGAGGGAGGAAAAAAAAUCAUCGAGAUACUGAAGGGUUCUCAGCUUCCGAAAGCAUUUCCUAUUAACUGAGAAAGAUGAGAUUCCGGCCUUCUGCUUUUGCCAACAAGCCUCCUCCCCGGAAGCGUCUGAGAGUGAAAUCUGCCCCCAAAAUACGCUUCCGGUUCUCGGAAAAUGCAGGGAAGUUCUCACAACAUCCCACAUUAAGGAGAGUCAAAGUCUGAUGCCGGGAGCGUGCUCACGGGCUGCUUCUUCCGAUGCCUUCUAUCCAAGAAGGUUUGACUAAACACUAUAAUAAAUACUAUGGUAUUCGUUAA